rnacentral:lncRNA from 1 species
UACAGGCGAUGAGCACUGCGUGGGGCCCAAAAUAUAUUUAUUGAACACAUUCAACAUCCAGCGUCUGUACAAGGCCAUGGGUGCUCUGAGCAGAAAACAAACAGGCCAAAUCCCUUCUUCAUGGGUCUUAGACGGCAGUAGAGGAGGCCAGCCAGCAGGGAAUGAGCACUCAGAGGAGGCGUGGUGGGGAAGGAAGCAGGCCGAGUGGGCCACAGGGAGGGCUGGGGCUGGAUGGCCAAGGAGGGCUUCACGCUGGGCACAGACCUGAGGAUGGUGAAGGGUGGAAGAAGUCAUUCCAGACAGAGAGAACUGCAGGUGCAAAGGCCCUGGGGCUGUGCUUGGCUCACUUGAGGACAAUGAGGUGGUAGGCAAGCUGCCUGGUGUAGGAGGGGCAGACAGUGAAUGGGAUGAGGUCACAGUGGAUGCCAAACCUGCGCCAUGUAGAACCUUGCAGGCCACUGCAGGGAUUUGGGCUUUUACUCUGAAGUGGAUGGGAAGCCACUGGCGGGAUCUGAGCAGAGAAGACAUGGGUCCCCUGCCCUCCAGCGAGCCUAGUUGAGCCCCAGCUGGACUCCAAGUCGAGCCUCUGCAGCCAGGUGUCCGCCAGAUGUCUUCCACGGCCAGCAAGGGAACCGCCUGGGCACGCGUCAGUCUGGCCUGUUUCCUGAUCCAGAAAAUUAUUUUCAGCUGCGCGUGACCUUCCACGGGGCCAGGACCGGAAAACUAGACAGCAGUGAUCUUUUUAAAACCGUGGACUCUAUGAACUAGGAAAGUCCCCUCCAAACUCGUCAACAGGAAUUCACUGCUUAUUGCAAACCCUGCUGAGACGCAGAGCGGAGAAAACAGGAGGUGCCCCAGUUUCUUCUCCCGGGUAAGACUGAGAGCUGUCCUUGAACCUGAUCGGCCAGAGAGAGUGCUGAGGAGAACCAGAGCAUCCCGUGGGGCUCCCUGGGCUGGGCUCUGCCAGGUGGGUUUCCCAGGAGAUCGGCCAUGACAGCUGCUGUGUUGGGCACUCCUCCAGGGCAGGGGUGGCCCCGGGAGAACUUGGGCAGGAGGGGGCAUGAGUCACACAGAGGGUGGCCCACUGGGUUUAUGGUACCCGGAGUUGCAAACACUCAGGUGUGAGUCACCUGAGUGCACACGUGGCUGGAGGCAGACAGCCUCCCUUGCCCUCCCCUCCUCCAAUCCCAGCUCCUGAUGGUUGUACCCUCUCCUGUGCUGAGGGCAGCAGAGACUCAUUAGCGAACUGGGGGCCCUGGAGUCGGAGAGCUGGCUUCCAAUUCCGGCUCUAGUACCCGCGCUCAGGGACACUGGGCAUGUGUUGUCACCUGCCUGUGCCUCAAUCUCCUUAACUGCAAAAUGGACAUAACCUCCAGGCUGAUGAAGACUAGGAGAGCAGAGGUCAGGGAUGGGCCCCUUCAUAGGGGCUCAGGGCCUUUCUGUUCCUCCAUUGCUUUCUCCGGCCUGGCCCGCUGUGUGAGGCUGGCCGGCAGACAUCUGUCUCUCUCUCAAUUUUAAAAAAUUUUUUUAGUAGGGACAGGAUCUCACUGUGUUGCCCAGGCUGAUCUCA